UUUUGACGACAUAUGACCAGAUAUGACCAUUUUGGGACGUCAAAAUGACGUGGGCUUGCUACCUGGGAUGUUAUCUAAGGUAUCUGCAUAAAAGUUGUCCAGAAGAUAUCUUUUAACCACGCUGAUGUUUCUGAUUUUUGUCGCAGUAUUAAAUUAAUAACGCGCGCGUUGCACGUGCAGUGUGUAUAUUAAUAAACUAUUAUAUAUAUAAUUUUUUAUUGAAUUGAAGAGUGUGCUGAUCAAGUUAAUUGUAAUAGAUACACGUUAUACGUAUUGGAAUAAAAAGUUUCUUUAUAUAUCUAUUUGGAAAUUAAGUGAGUAUUUACUUGUUUCAAUUUAUUCUACAUACUAUAUUUCAUUCUAUUUAAUAUAAUAUAUAAUUAAUACACAUUAUGGGACCAUCGUUAAAAUCAUUCGUUAAGAUUUCGUUAAGAUUUCGCUUGUAUAAGAUUUGCUUUUGUAAGAACUUAAAAAUAAUUAUUUUAUUAAAUAUAAAUAUUUGAAUAAUUAAAAUAUAUGAAUGUAUAUUAUAUAUCUGAUAAAAAUUUAUUAUCUAAAAUAUGAAUAUAUAUAACAUAGUUAAUUAUCUAAAAGUAUUAAUAGUUAACUUUAUUGUUCUGAUGCAUACAAACUGAAUACUCGUGCUUGGUGGACUAGAGCAAAAAUAGGAGAGUAUUUCCUAAUAUUCAGCCAAAGUCAUCCUUCACAUAUAUCGAAUUUUGACAAAAAUGAAAAUAUUCAAAAGAAGCCUGGUUUCAAUCACAAAUGAGCCACUCAAGUUGAUUCUGGAUUAUCUCAGAGCUUCGGUUUGCAAGGUGGAACCAAGUUUAAUUUUAUGGAGUGUAUUUCCGGCUGGUUGCACACAGUAAUCAUAACAGGUUUUAGCAGUUCGGUAUCGAAAAAAAAAA